GAAUGCUGACAUAAGUAACGAUAAAGCGGGUGAAAAGCCCGCUCGCCGGAAGACCAAGGGUUCCUGUCCAACGUUAAUCGGGGCAGGGUGAGUCGACCCCUAAGGCGAGGCCGAAAGGCGUAGUCGAUGGGAAACGGGUUAAUAUUCCCGUACUUGGUGUUACUGCGAAGGGGGGACGGAGAAGGCUAUGUUGGCCGGGCGACGGUUGUCCCGGUUUAAGCGUGUAGGUGUGUGUUCCAGGUAAAUCCGGUUCACUUUAACACUGAGGCGUGAUGACGAGGCACUACGGUGCUGAAGCAACAAAUGCCCUGCUUCCAGGAAAAGCCUCUAAGCAUCAGGUAACAUCAAAUCGUACCCCAAACCGACACAGGUGGUCAGGUAGAGAAUACCAAGGCGCUUGAGAGAACUCGGGUGAAGGAACUAGGCAAAAUGGUGCCGUAACUUCGGGAGAAGGCACGCUGACACGUAGGUGAAGUGAUUUACUCAUGGAGCUGAAGUCAGUCGAAGAUACCAGCUGGCUGCAACUGUUUAUUAAAAACACAGCACUGUGCAAACA
rnacentral:rRNA from 2 species